rnacentral:lncRNA from 1 species
GCACACACUCAUACACACACACUGCAAAAACGAAGGGGAAAUGUUUCUCCAAAUUGGUGGCUUCCUUGCAAAACUCCAUAGACUCUCACCUCUUUUCUUGAUCUGGCCACGUUCUGUCUGGGUGCGCCCAGUCCUGUCCCGCACCUGACCUUUCUGGUCCCUGGAGCAAGGUCGGGGAACAAGGAACAAGGUCCUGGUGCAGGAAAAUUCAUUUGCAGAGCUGGUAAGCCCAUCUGGCCUGCACGGUGUCGCACCGCUCCUUCCCCCACCCGGCGUGGGUGCCCUCCUCCCUCUGGGCUGCUGGGACACGCUAGAAUCACAGUGGGCGCAGCGUCACCGUGUCCCAGUGCGCAGCCCCUCCGCGGGGUCACUGAGACCAGAAAAGCGAAACUUGUUGCUUCCGAUGUUGGAUAAAUGAUUCCGCUCCAGGAAGUGUCGCGGAGCUUGAAAAGCAUCACCCUAAGGAUGCCCGAUAGUCUAGGAUGCCCAGAAAGGUCCUGCCCGGUAGACCCAGUCUUUCCACUGGUCACAGCUACCACAGCGAUGCAGACGGAGUGGAAAGGAUUGUGGAGAAGUCUCAGACCAGAGAGGCGCGUCUCUGAACCGAGCAGCUGCGCAGGUCCAGAGGGCCCUGCACCCUCUUUUCGUGGUCACGCAGCAAAGACAUUUACGGCGAGAACAGGCUGUAUUACACAAGGUAGUUCUGACACCAAAGUCUUGCAAAUUAAAGUUAAUUUAAAAUGUUAAAAAAAAAAAAAAAAAAAAAAAAAA